rnacentral:rRNA from 1 species
GACACGCUGGCGGCGUGGAUUAGGCAUGCAAGUCGAACGGUAUCAUCCUUCGGGGGUGAGAGAGUGGCGAACUGGUGAGUAACACGUAGGUUAUCUACCCUCAAGACGGGGACAACCCAGGGAAACUUGGGCUAAUACCGGAUGUGAGCAACUUUUAGUUGUUUGAAAGGUGGCGUAAGCUGUCGCUUGGGGAUGAGCCUGCGUCCUAUUAGUUAGUUGGUGAGGUAACGGCUCACCUAGGCAAUGAUAGGUAGGCGGCCUUAACGGGUGGUCGCCCACACUGGGAUUGAGAUACGGCCCAGACUCCUACGGGAGGCAGCAGUCGAGAAUAGUCUACAAUGGUCGGAAGACUGAUAGUGCGACGCCGCGUGAACGAUGAAUCCCUUCGGGGUGUAAAGUUCUUUUAUAUGUGAGCAGUGCUUCUUAUAUUAACAGUAUGGGGAGAGAGAUAUUAGCAUAUGAAUAAGCAACGGCUAACUCCGUG